rnacentral:rRNA from 1 species
GACAAACGCUGGCGGCAUGCCUAACACAUGCAAGUCGAACGGACAGAACAGGGAAGCUUUUCGGAGUGGAACUGGAAAGUUAGUGGCGGAUGGGUGAGUAACGCGUGGACAACCUACCUUGUAAAGGGGAAUAACCUCGAGAAAUCGAAGCUAAUACCCCAUAAUAACCUUGCUUCGCAUGAAGUAAGGAGGAAAGGCGGCCUUAGCGCUGUCGAUACAAGAUGGGUCCGCGUCUGAUUAGCUAGUUGGUGAGGUAAAGGCUCACCAAGGCGACGAUCAGUAGCCGGCCUGAGAGGGUGAACGGCCACAUUGGGACUGAGACACGGCCCAAACUCCUACGGGAGGCAACAGUGGGGAAUCUUCCGCAAUGGGCGAAAGCCUGACGGAGCAAUGCCGCGUGAGUGAAGAAGGCCUUCGGGUUGUAAAACUCUGUCCUUAUCGAAGAGAGAGUGUUGUAGUAACUGACAAUACUAGGACGGUAGAUGAGGAGGAAGCCCCGGCUAACUAUGUG